UGGGGAAGGUGGGACCCACUGGGUUGUGA
rnacentral:sRNA from 1 species